rnacentral:rRNA from 1 species
GGGUCAGUAGGUUGGUCGUGCCACCGGUACGUACUGGUCUCACUGAUUCCUCCUUCCUGAAGAACCGUAAUGCCAUUAAUUUGGUGCUGCGGGGAAACAGGACUGUUACUUUGAAAAAAUUAGAGUGUUUAAAGCAAGCUAACGCUUGAAUACAUUAGCAUGGAAUAAAGAACUAGGACGAUCGAUCCUAUUUUGUUGGUUUCUAGGAUUGACGUA